rnacentral:rRNA from 1 species
CACGGGGGGAGCAAACGUUGUUCGGAAUCACUGGGCAUAAAGCGCACGUAGGCGGUCUGUUAAGUCAGGUGUGAAAGCCCCCGGCUCAACCGGGGAAUUGCAUUUGAUACUGGCAGGCUCGAGAACGGUAGGGGUGAGUGGAACUCCAGGUGGAGCGGUGAAAUGCGUAGAUAUCUGGAGGAACACCGGUGGCGAAAGCGGCUCACUGGACCGUCACUGACGCUGAGGUGCGAAAGCUAGGGUAGCAAACGGG